rnacentral:rRNA from 1 species
UACGUAGGGUGCGAGCGUUGUCCGGAAUUACUGGGCGUAAAGCGCACGUAGGCGGAUUUGUUAGUCAGGGGUGAAAUCCCGAGGCUCAACCUCGGAACUGCCUUUGAUACUGCAAAUCUCGAGUCCGGAAGAGGUGAGUGGAAUUCCUAGUGUAGAGGUGAAAUUCGUAGAUAUUAGGAAGGACACCAGUGGCGAAGGCGGCUCUCUGGACCACAACUGACGCUGAGGCGCGAAAGCUAGGGGAGCAAACAGG